rnacentral:rRNA from 1 species
GGACCCGCACAAGCAGUGGAGUAUGUGGUUUAAUUCGAUGCAACGCGAAGAACCUUACCUGGGCUUGACAUGCAAAGGACGGCUGCAGAGAUGUAGCUUUCCCGCAAGGGACCUUUGCACAGGUGCUGCAUGGCUGUCGUCAGCUCGUGCCGUGAGGUGUUGGGUUAAGUCCCGCAACGAGCGCAACCCUUGUCGUUAGUUGCCAGCGUAUAAAGUCGGGCACUCUAACGAGACUGCCUCGGUUAACGAGGAGGAAGGUGAGGAUGACGUCAAGUCCGCAUGGCCCUUAUGCCCAGGGCUACACACGUACUACAAUGGCCAGUACAGAGGGCUGCGAAACCGCGAGGUGAAGCAAAUCCCAUAAAGCUGGCCCCAGUUCAGAUUGCAGUCUGCAACUCGACUGCAUGAAGAUGGAAUUGCUAGUAAUGGCGAGUCAGCACACCGCCGUGAAUACGUUCCCGGGUCUU